CAGUCGCCGCGGGAAUACGGAAGGUCCAGGCGUUAUCCGGAUUUAUUGGGUUUAAAGGGAGCGUAGGCUGGAGAUUAAGUGUGUUGUGAAAUGUAGACGCUCAACGUCUGACUUGCAGCGCAUACUGGUUUCUUUGAGUACGCACAACGUUGGCGGAAUUCGUCGUGUAGCGGUGAAAUGCUUAGAUAUGACGAAGAACUCCGAUUGCGAAGGCAGCUGACGGGAGCGCAACUGACGCUUAAGCUCGAAGGUGCGGGUAUCAAACAGGAUUAGAUACCCGCGUAGUCCCUGUCUCUUAUAC
rnacentral:rRNA from 1 species